rfam:Schistosoma mansoni strain Puerto Rico chromosome W, complete genome
AUCCAGCUGACGAGUCCCAAAUAGAACGAAACGCGUGUCCUAGAU